UUCAAAUUUUCACCCACUAGGCAGGCGCCGGACUGUGUCCUGGGUAUGGGGGGGGUUUGACCCUCGGCCAGCAGGGGCGCCGAUUGGCGCUCCUCAGGGGGACACCCUCCACUUUUCUGAUGUCUGGGCUGUGAUUGGUCCAGACUCCAGCCUGGACCUAUCACAAUAGGACAUCAUCUUCCGACUUCCUUCCCGCCCGAGCACAGUGUGCGCAGCAGCGGAGAGAAGAAGAUGUCGCGACUCGAGUCACCAGGAGGACCGGAGCAGGAGGAGACGGACGGAGACCAGGACUCGGCGGGAGUCGGCACUGCAGAGAGACCACAUCCGGAUCCAGACCAGGCCGCAGGUGCAGCGUGAGGUGAGGAGGUCAUCUGGAACCAGUCGGUCACAGUCGGGUCUCGGAAGAGAGACAAGUGAGUCCAGCCCUAUGCAGCAGCAGCAGCCCGGUAAGUGAGUCCUCCUGUCAGUCCUCCUCCUCCUCAUGCCUACACCAUCUGUGCCAUGCCUAUUCCAUCACCUGUGCCAUGCCUAUUCCAUCACUUGUGCCAUGCCUAUUCCAGGUUGCACACUGAAUAAAGUAUUUUAUAAUUUUUCAUAUUUCUGUUUACUUACUAUUUCAUAAUAAAGUAAUUAUAAAAUACUUUCUUUGUGUUUAUUUGAUUCCUAUUCAAGAGAAUUACUUUAUAUAUAGUCAAUAUAGGCACAGAGUUAAAUUUUUUAACAUUUUCUAAUGGUGGUGUGCCUCGUGAUUUUUUUCAUGAAACAAGUGUGCCUUUGCCCAAAAAAGGUUGAAAAACACUGCACUAGAUGACCCUUGUGGUCCCUUUCAACUCUACAAUUCUAUGAUUGUGUGAAAUAAAAGACAGGUCUUGCAAAUCCUGCACCUCUAAGAGGCUGCACAGAGACACCAGAAGCAGUGAUCUUAACAAGGGCCCCCACUGAUGAUGAUGAUUCUGUUAUUUGUACCCCACCCAUCUGACGGUUGCUUCAGCAGCUGCUCUGGGUGGCUUCCAGUAUAUACAAAAACAUUAUAGAGCAUUAAACUUUAAAAACAUUAAAAACUUCCCUAUAUGACUCCUUUAUGGAGAAGCUCCCUCUGGCCUUAAAAGUUGAAACUCCCUACCCUUCCUCUAGUGCCCUGAUCUGGAUUGCCCACACCAUACUUAUGGUUUACUUUUAAAAUUAUUGUGAGGUAUUGGUGUGGGUAGGGACACAGGUGGCGCUGUGGGUUAAACCACAGAGCCUAGGACUUGCUGAUCAGAAGGUCGGCGGUUCGAAUCCCCGCAGUGGGGUGAGCUCCCAUUGCUCGGUCCCUGUUCCUGCCAACCUAGCAGUUCGAAAGCACGUCAAAGGGCAAGUAGAUAAAUAGGUACAGCUCCAGCGGGAAGGUAAAUGGCGUUUCCAUGCGCUGCUCUGGUUCGCCAGAAGCGGCUUAGUCAUGCUGACCACAUGACCCGGAAGCUGUACGCCGGCUCCCUCAGCCAAUAAAGCGAGAUGAGUGCCGCAACGCCAGAGUCGGUCACGACUGGACCUAAUGGUCAGGGGUCCCUUUACCUUUAUUGGUGUGGGUGGUAUUAAAUGAAGCUCAGACAAAUUUGUUGAGGCUGAGGCUACCUGUGGCUACUAGCCACAAUGAUUAUACUCGAACUCCACUGCCAGAAGCAGUAUUCGUUGGGGGCUGUUGCAUUCAUGUUCUGUUUGCGGGCUUCUCAUAGGCUAUUGAGACAGCACAAUGCUGGAUUAGCAUUUGGCCUGAUCCAAUUCAUAUGAUUACAGAAGCAGCCCAUGGGGGACAGGCUUAAACACCCCCUCUCCCACUGUUACUUUUGACUUAAAAUUUGCAGCCGCUCUCACCUCACCUGCAUUUCACUUUUUAAAGCAAGUCAUGAUAAUAGAUCUGCUAUGUGACGUUUGAGCCUGCCUGCCUGUCACAUACACAGUUGCCUGGAAAGGGGGGUGGAUGGGCAAGCAAAUCUCAGAGGAUCACCAAAAUGUGUUAAAUUCCACUUGAACCACAUGCUGGGCUAUGUACAGGGACACAUCUGAUAUUCUGCACCUAAUGGCUUCCUCUUUUGCAUCCUUUAACUUGUAGGAGGUACAAUUUAUGCCUGAAGAACCCUCCAGAGGCUACUGCCAGAGUUAACAUUUUUAAUUUCCUGUUUAAUUAGAGCUGGUGAUGGCUAACCCAGGCGCUCUAUCACUGGUGGCAGCCAGUGCUGUAAAUUUCAGUUUCAUCUGCUCGCUUGAGCGACCCUGGAGAUUAGGGCUCCAUGAAUAUGAAUGAAGUUCCUCUGUGUUUCAUCAAGCACAGAAACAAUAUCCACUGUGUGGCGUUCUCAGCUUGCUGCUGUAAGGGUUUGCUUCUUUGGCCCAUAAGCUGGCUAGUUAUGGAAUUCCUGCAUGUUGCAGGUGACUUCAAAUGUUCUGCAGAGCGUGCACACAGGACAUUAUUCAGUCAGUUAAUCUUCACCAUUGCCUUAUGAAUAGGAAUGGGGAGAAAUUGGAUCCAGUUCGCAUUUAAAGGCAAUCUAACCUAAUCCAUUCUACACUUCCCAAGACAAGAAUGUGAGGAGAGCCUGCUAGAUCAGGCUGAUGGCCCUUCUAGUCUAGCAUCCUGUUCUCACAGUGGUCAACCAGAUGCUUGCAAACAGUACAUAAGCACAACAGCACACUACUCAACUCGGAUUCUCAGCAGCUUGUAUUCAGUGGUGUGUUGCUUCUGGCAGUAGAGGUAGAAUAUAGACAUUGUGGCUAGUAGCCCCAUUAAUUUGUCCAAUGCCUGUUUAAAGCAAUCCAACUUGGUUGCUAUCACAGCCUCUUGUGGAGGUGAGUUCCAUAGUUUAAGUAUGCACUACGUGAAGAAGUACUUGCAUUUAUCUUUCCUGAAUCUUCCUGCGUUCAGUUUUCAUUGGUUGUUCUAGUGCAGGGGUCGGCAACCUGCGGCUCCGGAGCCGCAUGUGGCUCUUUUACACCUUUGCCACGGCUCCGGGGCGGAUACUAGCAAGGGGAGGAGGCGCAUUGUGCGCCCCGACACUCCCCACUGUGGCGGGCGCUGUACUGGCUGUGACGUCGCAUGGGGGCAGUGCGUGCGUUAGUCACGCACCGUCCCGACGUCACCUUCCUGCCCGCCCGCUACAUUGUAAGGGGCAUGUACGCUGGUCACUGCAUUGAAAGGGGGCAUGUAUGCUGGUCACUGUUUUGAAGGCGAGUGAAGAACACACACACACAAAAAGGUAACUUGUUAAUUUAACGUUUAUUUCUAUGAGGAGGAGUAAUUCUGAGGGGUCAAACAAAGAAAUAAUUUAAAAAAGUGACAAAAAGUUAUUUUUAUAAUGACGAGUUUUGCGGCUCCCAGUUUGUUUUUCUUCGGAAACGGGUCCAAGUGGCUCUUUUUGUCUUAAAGGUUGCAGACCCCUGGUCUAGUGUUAUGGGAGAGGGACAAAAACUUUUACCUAUCUGUUUUCUCCAUGCCAUGCAGAAUUGUAUAAACAUCUAUUAUGUCACCUCUUGUUCACCUUUUGUCUAAACCAAAAGUCCCAAUUGCUGCAGCCUCAUAAGGUGAAUUAGGGGCUUCACUUGCAUGCGAAGAUAGGCUCUGGUGAACUGAGUGGAUGAGACCAAUAGUGGGUUCAGUGGUCAAGAAGGCAGUUACUGCAAAUGCCAUAGAGAGAAUUGAGGGGCAGGUGGGGCUCGUCAACCUGGGAAGGGAACCCAUCUAGGAGUAGGACAACUCUGAUCCUAAACCUCUGCUGUCUUGUAGGAUAUCUUCAGGAGAAGAAAAGGCUACACAAAUCUGGAGUGGAGUCCCUAAGGCGGUUGGAUAGCGCCUUGUAAGCCUCCUUCCAGCAACUCCUGCAGCCAAGCUGGUGCCAAAUGGAUUGUUUUCCUUUCCUUUGGACCACAUCAGUGAGACCGAGAGGGGGGUCUUGUUGUCUGGGCAGCCCAGGACCUCCAUGCACACUGCCCAGUCUUGCACCCCAGGGAAGUCACUUAGCUGCUGCUAGCACAGCGGUUUGGCUUCACCUCUGGAGGCACAUUCCAUUGUGUCUUGAGACAGACAGAUGCCAACAACAAUUUCAUGUACAGAAAGGAUGGGGAGCCUCUGGGCCAUGGGCCAACUUGGGCUCACCAGCUGUCCAAAUUGGCCCACUUGCCAUUUCGGCAAGCCUACCUGCCUCACGUGGCUUCAAAGGAGCUAUCGGGAGCUUAAAAGUGAGCUCCCAGUUGUUCAUUUGUUGCAGUAAGUUCUUCUCCCCCUGACUGUCAGCUGAUGGGCCAUGGGAGCCUAGAUCACAAAGGAUCCUGGAGAAACCACUGCAUUUUUCCCUGAAGGGGAAAGAAAACUGUUUUAACAGCAGCUUCAAUGUAAACACCUUUACAACCCUGGAGCAAGCUUUUUUGAAGGUGUGCUGGAAAUGCACUUUCAAAGAGGCUUGUCACUUGAUGUCAUGGGCAGCCCUGCCCGCCUGCCGAAUUUGGCCACGUGAGGGGUAGAGCAGAUAAGGAUCUGGCCCACUGGGAGGAAAAAAGCUCUCUCCAGCACAUCUAUAGCUCUGUCAUUUACCACCCUGCCCUGUUUUCUCUUCCUCAUUUUGCCAGUCAUUACAGUUAGCAUGCAGAAGGUGGCGACAUUUCCAUACACAUUGAAAUCAAAAUGCAUAGUAUAAACCCAACUGCCAGGCAUAACUCUGCAGCAACUGUUUAAGGAGGGGGGAUGCAUUUGGGAAGUGUAGUUGAUUCCCUUAAUUCCACAAGGCUUCAUCCGUUUUCUGUCCUGCCCAUCAGGAUGCCCAUCAGGGGCUGAAACAGAUGCGAAGCCAGCAAUCUGCGAUGAGAUCUGUAGACGUAAUUGUUAUGUACUAAAGUUCUCACCCUGGGCCAUCAGGGGGAUACUGUAGAUAGUUAUGCAAAUAAGGGAUCGAAAGUGACGUUCAGUGAUUGGAUAGUUUUAGAAAGUUGUUACAAUUACGUAGUUCUGGAGCUCUAUAUAGGCAGGCUGGCUGAACCCUUCAGUUCAGUUCUGUUCUGGCCUGUGAAUAAACAAGAGCUGUUUGAAGAAUUGCUGUGUCGUCUGAUAUGUUCACCCACAACUUAACAGUAAUUGUCAUAAUAUAUUUUUUAUGUCAGCCACCUUGGGCUGCAACUUUUGUCCAGGCAACAGAACUGGGGGGAGUUGCUGGCGAAAUUCCCCUCAUGCCUUUUUCACAACCCAAAAUCUCUAUUAUCCUUGUAGCUAGUUCAGUUGGUUACAGCAUGGUGCUGCUAAUGCCAAGAGCACAGGUUCGAUUCCCUCAUGGGCUACCUUCGUGUUCCUGCAUUGCAGGGGGUUGAGCUAGAUGGCCUCCAGGGUCCCUUCCAACUCUGCAAUUCUAUUGUUCUGGGAACAUAUUGGGCCCUGUAUCAUGCCUUUGUCUUUCCCAGGCAUGGUAAACAACAACAUGAGACCACGGUGAUCCAGGAAAUGGAUAAUGUCAUGGGGAAGAGUCAUUUUUCUGGAUCACCCAUCCCCUUCCUGAGAGACCGAGAGAAUUCAUAUUCAUUUCUCCUUUCCAAGGAAUCUGUGUUAAAGUCAUAUCUGGUAUAAUUCAUCUGAACGUUGAAAAAACCACAUAUAAGUAAAAUAGGAAGUUGGUAAGGGCACCACUCUUUCAACUUCCUCCUUCAGUUCUAUGUACUUUUCUUUUCCCCCCAUUUUUUAAUUGAUUUUCCAAAUUUGUAACAAACAUAACAACAAACAAGAAAAACAUUACAAUAUCAACAAACAAACAAACAUUUAUCCUAACUGUUAUAAUCCCCGUUUAGUUAUCAUUAUUGAAUGACUUCCUUGAAUCCCCCUAGCUGAGUUUCCAUAUGGCUCAUUGUAGCAGUUUUCCAACACUAUUUUCAUAUAAGAUUUACUUGUUUCAAUUAAAUCUUUCUUUCUUUUCAUUUUGACUUCUAUCCAUAAAGGUAAAGGGACCCCUGACCAUUAGGUCCAGUCAUGGCCGACUCUGGGGUUGCGCGCUCAUCUCGCUUUAUUGGCUGAGGGAGCCGGCGUACAGCUUCCGGGUCAUGUGGCCAGCAUGACUAAGCCGCUUCUGGCGAACCAGAGCAGCGCACGGAAACGCCCUUUACCUUCUCGCCGGAGCGGUACCUACUUAUCUACUUGCACUUUGAACUGCUAGGUUGGCAGGAGUAGGAACCGAGCAACAGGAGCUCACCCCGUCGCGGGGAUUCAAACCUCCGACCUUCCGAUCGGCAAGCCCUAGGCUCUGUGGUUUAACCCACAGUGCCACCCGUGUCCCUUCUUUCUUCUAACAUCCCUUCUUUCGUCCUAACACCUUUCUUUCUUUUCAUUUUGACUUCUAUCCAUAGUAUUAUAUAAUUUCACAUAUUUAACUCCUAGUUCUAUGUACUUUUUGAGGGGAAAACGUACAUAGCGCUUUAUGACCAAAGGGGCAAUGAGUUGCUGGGUGUGAGGGGAAGCCCGGAAGCUUUGUGGGUGCCACUGUACCCAUGGGACCGUGUUGGAGAUUGCUGCUUUCUCUCCUUUUUUCUGCAAGAUCCCUUAGUGACUUUUAUGAGCCUUGUCCUUAGUUCUGUCUGGCUCCUUCCCUACAGGAAAUCAAGGCUUCUUUCCAGAAUUUGGCUCCUCACUGCUUUGCUCUUGCUUUCCCAUCCAGCGCAUCUUUUUGUCUAUUAAUUAAAUCUCACUCAAAUGCCUGCUUCAGGUACUUAAAAAGAGGUGGGAUCCAAUUAACUUUAUGGAGCUUUAACACAGCUUUUUUUUUUUUUAAUUUGUCAGUUGAUGGCUCAGGCUGGACGGGGAGUUGACUUGUGAGAGGAUGUGCUCAUGAACUUUUAUGGCAAGUGUCUAGACAAGGCCUCUGUUCGUAAACACCUCUGCUAGUGUGUAUUGUGGAAGCAUCUGGCAAGAAGCUCCAGAACAGAUGCCCCGUCAUUAAAGCAUACAGAAAAUGAGGUUACACUAUAGUAGUCCCAUGGCGGUACAGUCAACAGAAUUAAGGAAUGGGAAGCAUCUCAGAAUGCCUGCUGGGACUCCACCAGCAAAAACCUGGGAGUUUUAUAAUCCCACUGUGCAGACUUUAAAUCCAAAUAGUCUUAGAUUUCCUCAAAAAGAAAAACAACAGUGUUCUAGCCUUUUUAGAUACUAUUAAGCUUAAUACGUUAAUACAUGGGCCAGAGGCCAGAAAGGAACUAAGUACUUUUGGUGCUCAGGCGAAAGAGCUUCAGUUUGGCUCCUCCUGAACCAAAUUGGCUUAACUUUCACAAUUCACUCAAAGUCCAAAAUUCAGUUUUUGGGAAGGGGCCAUAAAUCCAGAACCUGAAUUUAUGUUGCAUGCCUGUAAAGUAUGAGUCUCAUAGGGUGCUGUAAAAAAGCUUAUUGAGAUAUUGCAAACAGGUUGUUGGCAGCAGGUUUUUUAAAAAUAAUAAUAAUAAUAAAAAUCUUACUGGAUUCUCCCUUGAAAUAGUAAAUCCAUAUUAGAUGGGGAGGGAGCGGAACAUGGGGGGCAUUGUGUGAUUUGCUGAUUGCACACAAAAAAUACCAUUAUGGAACCACCCACGCAAGAGCUGAACAAAAGCACUUUGGAAACACCAAGUAUCUCUUCCCUGCCACAAGCAAACUGCUGCCCUUUCCUCACACAACUUCAUUUGGGCUGCUAUGAAAUGAGAUGCACCAUCCAAUGUGGAGAAGCUGAAGGCUGCAGUAUAUCCGAAAUAACAACUCAAGGUCACAGCAUUUCAUGUUAGGAUAUGAACAGAUAAGUAAAUAUGGCACUUUGGGUGGAAUAGUUUGGAGCAUCAUGAAAAUGGAAAGAGGAAAACCAAUAUUUAUGCAUAAGACUGUAUGCUGGGAAUUGCUGGGUACUCCAGAGAGUGAGAGGAAUUCAUCCUGUAAAGGGAGGAUAGUACUUGACAAGUGGCAAAAAAACCCCCACACCCUCAAGAGGCUUCUUUGGAGAAGAAGCAAUCUGAUAUUUUGGACUAGCACUUGUGGAACCUUGAUUAGAAAUAUAUGUUCUAUUCUAACACCGUAGUGCUAAAGGACUAUAAGGAUUUCUCCCCCCCCCCCCAUGUGAAUUCAGUGUUGAAAGAAAGGCAGGAGACUGAAUAAAGGUCACCUUGUUCUCAGCUAUUUAAGAAGUGUAUUGGGUUUUCACAUACCGCAUUCAGUGAGUGUACAGUCUGUGCACUUGUGUACACAGAAAUGUACACUUGUAGUUAUUCACACGUCACAUUCAACGUGUGCAUUCUGUGUGCACAAGAGUUGAUCUGUAUAAACCAAGAAAUGUACACUCUUUCAUCCAACUUGGGGAAUCACUGGCCUAUAGGCCAAACUUGUGCACACAAGAAUCACUGGCCUAUAGGCCAAACUUGCUCGCAAGGCCAUUUUCAGCAAUCCACACCCAUCUAUUCUACAUCUGACAUAAUACAUGAUGUCAACUGUGGGGCAGAAAAUGGUGCAGCUUCAAAGGAACAACCUAGAGCUUAAAAUGAGCUCCUGUUUGUUGCUUUGCUGAAGCAAGGCACACUCUCACUACCUUGAAACUCUGAAAACUGGAGGUUCAAAAAUCAGUGUGGGGCUGCUUGAAAGCUCUUUUGUAAACAGCCCUGUGCUGCUGUUUGAACCCCCCCCCCCCGCUGCACUUUGAAGUCUAGAUGUUUGGGGCUUCAAAGCGCAACAUCACCUGACAUCAGGGGAUCAACAGAUGGGUGGUUCUGCCCAGUUGUGGUCCUUCCAGCAAAACAGGAAGAUAAGGAUGCAGCCUGCUGGCCAGAAUGGGGCAAGUUGAUGGCUUCUUUCCAUGGGGGGUGUUGGUCCUCAAACCCUGUUGUACAUUCCCAGUUAGUCAGGAAGAAGCUGGCAAGUACGAAGUUUAAAAUCUAAUUAUUGUUGGAAUUAGCAUUGCCAGGCCAUGUUGCCUGAGGCUGUUGGGAAUUUAAAAUCUAUCUGUUGGAAUGUCCUCUUUUUUUUUUUUUAAUGAGGUGUAAUUACAGCACAGAGUAGCAUUUUGAAAAACAUUGUGAAAAAACCUAUUACGAUGGGGAGAUGAGAUUGCCAAUUAAUUUUCUCCUAACAAGUCUAUCAGGCUGAUCAGCUCAGCUUCCCAGCCAGAGGUAACAGGUUCAGGUCAACUUAGCCUACAGUGGAGAUCUAUAGUGUUCUCUGUACUACUGAUGGUCUGUAGGUUCCAUUCAGGCAGCAUGUUGAAAGAUUGCGGACCAGUUGACAAUAUCUGUAAUUGGCCCUGUAUUUGAUUUAUCUUUUCUGGCGCUGUAGAGAUCAAUACCAUUUUGACUGGGACCAAUAUUAUCAGACAGGCUGUGAUUUUUAUAACCCAGCCCUGGCUUUGACAAUGCUGCCAAUACAGAAGCAAAAUAAACAAUAAUGGAAAAAAGGUUAUUAAAACCUAUGCAUCUGCUAGUUUUGAGGCUGCAGUCCUAAACAUACUUGCUUUGGAAUAGGAUCAACUUGUCUGAGUUUGAGGGUGGGGGAAAGCCCCAGCAAUUGUCUCCCAGCAGCAGCACUGCUGGUGUUUAUUGGGGAGGGAGGGGAAUGAGUGAUUGGCAAGUUCUGGGUUUCAUGAAUGCACUGGUGGAAUCAAUGCACCAGGCAGCCCCAGACUUAUAGCUGCUUCCCACUUCCCCCCCUUCCCAUCCAGCAGCGAUUCUGCUGCCUGAAGGCUGUAGCUGAGGUUCUGCUCCACUGGGUGAGACAUUCCUGCAUGGGAAUAGGACACGGUGAACACAAAAAGAAAAGACUUCGAGAAGUAUAUAGGAACGAUAUUUUGAACACAAGAGCUAGAGGGCUGGCAGUGCUGCUGUCUCUGUCCCCUGGCGUGCUCCUGUGAGACACAAGAUAUGCAGAACUCUUUAGCCUUUGAUAUCCAGUGUGGACAGGAACAGGGGUCUGGUGUUUUCCAUGAGACUUCAGUACUAGACCUGUGUAUUGGAGUGGGGACCUGUGGGGUCAAAUGAGAUGUAAUGUUAAGCAUGCCAUCGGGAAGCCCAUCCGGGCGUCUCAUAAAUAGCAUGCAUUCUGGAUGUAUUUGUGUGUGUAUGGGAGGCAGAUUUUCUUCAGGAGCACAAUGCAUAGGGAAAGAGCUCUAAUUGUUUCUACCUUUCCCUCCCUUGGUUCCGUUCUUUCUCCCCAGGCCGAAUAGCAGCAUGUUGUGGGGGUGGAUAUCUUCAGAGGAAAAGGCUAAAUUUCCCGUUUCUGUGUGCCACAAUGCAUUAAUAGCUGCCCUUAAUUAAAAAUAACAACACCAUGACAAGCUUCCUAAUGAUGUGCUUUGCAGCAUGGCUAGCUUAGCCCAGGAGGUUGCCACAAAAACAUUUUUUGCUCAGACCCUGAGAUAUUAGACUGAACCACAUCUGGGUCCAGGUUUAUAUGGGCCCUCAAGCACCAGAUUAUCAGUCAGGCUUCAUCUUCCCCAUCCAUUUAGUACAGGAUGGGAAAUGUGGCCUCAGAUGUAGUUGGACACCAGCGUCUACCAACCCGGUCACCAAGGCCAUUGACCAGGGAUGAUGGAAUCCAACAACUUCUGGAGAACCACAGGCUCCCUGUCCCUGAUUUAGUACCAGUGGGCCCAGUCUCUGUCAAUGGUGGAGGCAACAGUGAGGAGGAAGAGCUCUUCUUUUGGUGGAGAUUGAUCCUAAGGGAGAGGGUGAGUGGUGGUUGCUACAGUUGCUGUUUCCAUAAUCCCUCAAUGAGGACUUGGCCCAAAAGGAAAGAGUAAAAUGGCUGAUUGGCAGCUAAUAUUCCACCUCCCCCUUAUUACCAUGGCAACUGGGAGCCCUGGUGUUCUGUCUUUCUGUAGGCCCCAACCAUGCCAACUGCUAAUGCCACCCUUGACCUGAACUGUCAAGAGUCCUAACAGGUUGUGUUAUCAAAUCCUAGGUUUGAGGAGGGACCAAGGAUCAUCCACAUUGUAGCUGUGCUCCAUAUUGACGGGUCUCCUGAGAACAGCCUGUCUUAGUUGGCUACACAUAGGAAAACAAGCAGCAUAGGAAUACUGAGCUAGAUGGACCAUUGGUCUACACUCACUGGGAGGGUUUCAGGCAAGGAGUCUUUCCCAGCCCUACCUAGAGGUGCCAGGGAUGGAAUCUGAGACCUUCUGCAUGCACCUCUGAGCUAAAGCUCUUCCCCUUUCACCAGGACUGGCCUUAGGUUUGAGAAGGCACUGGGCAAAAUGCUAGGGUCUUGUUGGGCUUACUUUCCUUGUAGUAGUGGCGGCAGCCAGCCAGCCUCAAUGCUCUGGGAAGAAAUCGGACCUCAUUUUAUUUUCACACAAUUCCGCAGGCUAAUGCUAUACCAGGGACAUUGUAGGAUAUUUAAAUAGCUGCCAAGCACUGCUCAGUGCAUCAGACUUGGAGGGAAAUUGAGGGAUGUUCUGGUCAGGUGUCAGCAGUAGGCUCUGCUAGGUUGCUGGGACCCUGGCAGCAGUCCAAGGAUGCCAGGUUCUGACACAAGCCCUGGGGUCCACACUUCAGCCCUCUCUUCUUCACCCCCUUUUAUGGAUAGCAUCUGCUUCUGUGUGUGAUGGCCUGGGAUUCCGAUUCAGGGGCUGAACCGGAGGAAUCCCAGCCUGCACAGGAGUCCCCGCCUCCAGGGCCGGCUGAACUGGGGCAGGGCCUUGAUUCUGAAGCGCCUGCACCUGUGCCAGAUCCUCAGGAGCAGGCACCAGGUGAAUCCACUCUGGCUCCGGAGGUGGUUGAGGACUCAGUGCCUACAGGUGAGUCUCCCCCUGGGCACAGUAACCCUUCGGCCUCUCCUGAACUGCAGAGGUUCAGGGCAGAGAGGCGAAGGGAACUGGUUUCUCCCAGGAGGAGUGCUCGCCUUAAGGCCAGGAGAGGCGGGUCUCCUGGGGGCCGGGACCGCCCCUGGCCUCAGAGAAGAUACAAGGCCAGUCAGCCCGGUCCCAGGUUGUGGGAGCAACGUCGUCAAUGAGCUGUUUCGGCCAGCAUCCAGUCCUGUUCCCCCAGUGUUCCUGUCCCCACCCGGCUUCCUGCUUCGGACCUCACCUCGCUCCUUGAGAACUGUUUCCAGACCAGUGACCCAGGACCGGACUUUGACUACGCCAACGGUAACCUUCCCCCCGGGACCAGCACACUGUGUCUCUGGUGUCAUCAGCAAGAAAGGAAAGAUUGAUUCCUGUGCAGUUUUUCUCCUGAACUUUUGCUCUCCAGGAAUCAAUAAUUAAUGCGGCCCCAAGAUGGCAAGAGUGCACGUCCACAAUUACCUUCCCAUAGGUAGGCCGUGAAUGGUUCUUGGCAGAUGGACUGAUUGCACUUGUUACGUGUGAAAUGCCAUGUGCUUCCCUAGUCGGUUCUCGAGCUAAUCAAAUGCUCCUGCACAAAGAUCAGAUGCUCACUGCCUUGCAAAUGUUUGACCAACGGUAGCCUGCCUCGUGGAGAAAUGGGGGCGGGGUGUGUGUGCGCGCAAAGCAUAUAAAUCUCAUUAUGACAACGUGUCUAGUAAUGGGGUCUUCCAGGGUGCCUUUCAGCACAUAAAUAUUUCAGUGCUGCUUGCCAAAGCUAACUUUUAGAAUACUAUGCCCAUGUAAUUUUGUGUAAUUAUUACAUUUACAUCCAAUGAGCUCAAGGUGACAUUUAUUGUUUACCCUUCCCUGCUUUAUCCUCUCCUGUGAUGUAAGCUAGAAUGAGGGACAAUCACUGGCUCAGGGUCACCCUGUGAGUUUCAUGGCUGAGUGGGAAUAUGAACCCUGGUCUCCCAGGUCCCAAUUUGACACACUAACCAUUACACCACAUGCUAAUGUACCCAAAAGUUUAUUUCUGAACAAUUUCUUAAAUCUUUAUUGAUAAAUACUUGUCUGGGUUUGUACUAUUUGGUGGCAUUAUAUUUGUGAAACUGUGUUCACUGGGUACCUAACUAGGCCCAUUUGCAGUACCGUUGUGUUACUCAGGUGGGGCAGAGGGACACACUUCCUUCGCAGUGCGGAAAAUGACAUCAUACAAACAUUCCCUUUUUUCUGAAUCAAAUGACACCUUGUCUUUCCAACACAAACCUACCCUUGGAAUGAUCCUUGCUUCUGGCUGAGUUUGCUUCUUUUACUUGCUGUAUUGUAAUUCUGUUGUGUGCAUUGAUAGCCAGCUAUUGCCCCCUCUGAGACACUGUGUUUUGUGUGUCUGUCUGUCUCCAGAACCAGAUGUACAAAGUAAGGGCAAAAAGUCAGCUGCCACUUCCCAUCAUCCUUGAGGAUAAAUUGAGCAGAAAUUCAUUCAGGGGAUGCUUUAAAAAUUGCAUCAGUGCAGCACUCUUCCCUUUGCCCAGACUGGUCAGUAUGCUCUCUAGGUAUGAUACUGUGAUGAUUAAAAGGGACACGGGUGGCACUGUGGUCUAAACCAUUGAACCUCUUGGGCUUGCCAAUCAGAAGGCCGCUGGUUCGAAUCCCCGCGAUGGGGUGAGCUUUUGUUGCUCUGUCCCAGCUCCUGCCAACCUAGCAGUUCGAAAGCAUACCAGUGCAAGUAGAUAAAUAGGUACCACUGCGGUGAGAAGGUAAACGGCGUUUCCUUGCGCUCUGGUUUCCGUCACAGUGUCCCGUUGCACCAGAAGCGGUUUAGUCUAAGGUUACCCCGUUUCCAGGGGACAGUCCCCGGAUUUACAGAUCAGUCCCCAUGCAAAAUCCAUUGAAGUUGAAAAGUGUCCCCGGAUUCAUUGAAAAAAAUCUGGUAACCUUAGUUUAGUCAUGCUGGCCACAUGACCUGGAAAUCUGUCUGUGGACAAACGCCAGCUCCCUUGGCCUGAAAAGCAAGAUGAGCACUGCAAUCCCAUUGUUGUCUUUGACUGGACUUAACAAUCCGGGGGGUGCUAUACCUUUUUACCUUACUGUGAUGAUUGGGGUGGUGGUAGAUUUUGCCUAAAUGUGUUAUGAUUUAGUAACAGAAAUAAUGGUUUGAUUCAACUUUGCUAAACACAGAACCCCCCUUGGAUUUUGUUAUGGUAACCAGCCAAGAGGCAGAGCUAGCUGGAUGGCCCAUUAGCAGGGGACAAAGGCUAAUUGCCAGAAAUUGGAAAGGAGAAUUAUUACCAACAAAAGAGGAAAGGCAGAGUAAAUUAUUUGAAUAUCUCAAACUGGCAAAAAUGGCGAAGACAAUUAGGAGACAGCCAAACCAAAAGUUCAAAAAGAAGUGGGAAAUUUAAAAAGAAUAUUUAAAACCUGGACAUGCUUUGAUUAAUUUUCGCAAACCACAAUAUGGAUUAUAAGUAUAGUAUUCAGAUAACAGAAGAAAUGGCAAAAUGAUUAAAGAAGCAGUUUAUUAAACAGAUAAGACAGACCCGCAUUGAGGAAGACUGAAGUCUGUUGGGGAAGAUAAGGAAUUGGGAAUUAAGAACAUGGUGGCAUACGUUCUUUUGUAAGAACAUAUGGAUUUAUGGAUGUAUGUAUGUUUUUUAUUUUUGUUAAUUUCUUGUGUGUGUUUGUUAAGUAAGAAAACUAAUAAAAAGCAUAUUUUUUAAAAAAGACUAGUGAUGGCCCAUCAAGGAAACCAUCAGAGGGCCAGACUGUUGGGCAAGGGGACGUAGGGCCCCUUAUUUGUUGGGUGGCAGUGGGCAGAGGCAAAGGUUGGGUUUAAAGUUUCAACCUUGAAUGGUUGAUAGGAGGUCCUGGGAGUCAGCAGAAAGAAGGAGAGGAAGGAGCAGAACUCCAUGUGAAUUGGGAACGAUAGGAAGGAACGAAGAAAGAGGAUGGCUUUUUGCUAUCCUUCACAUCCAAUGCUGCCCUUAUGCGGGAAGCCAGACCCUCAUAGGAUGUGAAUGCGCUGCAAUCCCUCCAUCUAAGUUAAGGUUGUAUAUAUGUGAGAAUAAAACCAUACAUCAUGAAGACACUGCAGUCUCUGCUGUGCUUUAUUCCCCAAAGGAAACACAUACCCUGGGUAAACAUCUGGAAUCUUGUGCUGCUGGUGGAGAUUGGGGUGGGGUGUAACAAUAUUUUAGGUUUUGUGACAUGUUUGUCUUCCUGCUGGAUAAUGUGUAAAAUGAGUUGCCUUGCUGGAAAAGAAGGUACAGCAACUUGAGGCACACAACUUUAAUCUACAGGACAAGAUACUGAGUUUCUUGAUAGAGAUGAGUGGACUGUGCUGGAACAGCAACAUAGGUAGGACGCCCCUACAGAGAAGGAAGACCACCCAUUGCAAGAAACGAACCCCUGGAGGAAUGUGGCUCACAGAAAUGGGAUUGUCAGGAGCCAUGCUGUGUUAUUAAGUCGGCAAAAUCGAUUCCAUGCCCUCAUCUUGGAUUCUGGGCUAGAGGAGCUAGGAAAGCAGCCGCUGACCUCAGAAUACCCUGAGGUGACUGUGAAAGGUACAAUGCUCAGAACUGAUUCCUGCCCCCACCUCAAAAGGAGGAAAAGACAGGAGGAGAUGGACUUGGAGGAGCCGUUUUCCAUUCUUCACCUAAUCCCUUCAAGAUCUAAGACUACUGAUCAUGGAUGAUAACCAACUUGCUACCUUUCAAGGAAAUGAUCUCAGAAAAAGGGAAUUGCAGUCUGGAGAAGGCAAGUUCAAAGGAAGGAGUAGGAAGAACUUGAACCAUAAGGUUCCUGACUUUGUAACCUAUCCCAAUAAUACCCAGAUAAGAACCAAUAGACAAGAAGGAAAGUCUCAAGGACAGCAGUUGCAGACUAUAGAAAUCAUUGAUGUUGCUUUGGAAAGCACAGUGUAUGGAACAAUUCCUUCUACUCCCCAGAAUAGACAUGUGGUAGGUAGACUCCCUAUUGAGAGCGACAGAGACAGUAGUGUGCAAAGGAAACAGGAUAUCCCGGGAGGUGUGCUAUAUUCCAGGUGCAAAGAUUCACAAUGAGAGAGAGAAGUUGCCAAGUCUUAUAAAGCCAACUGACCACAACCCCUUCCUUCUAUUUCAUGUGGGUCCUAACUAAACAUCAGGAAAAACUUUCUGACAAUAAGAGCAGUUUGGCAGUGGAAUGGUCUCCCUCAGGAGGUUUUGGACUCUCCUUCCUUGGAGGUUUUUAAGCAGAGGUUGAAUGGCCAUCCAUCAUGGAAGCUUUAGCUGAGAUUCCUGCACUGCAGGGGGUUGGACUUGAUGACCCUCAAAGUCCUUUCCAAUUCAAAAAUUCUGAUUCUAGGUCUUGGAUUCCCAAUGCCACCCAGGAGAGGGUUCCAUAUUCUCUUUAUUUAUCUGUGUGUUUUCUUCCACAAAUGACUUCGUGAAAUUCUGGGUUUUUCAGGAGACACCAUUUCCAGGGAUUUGUAAGAUGCUAGAUGCUGAGGCGCCAGAGCCAUGCCUCGUCUGUUCUGUGUGACUAAGAUUAAGACUCUGAAAAGAAAGUAGACCUCCGUAGCCCAUUGAGGCAGCUACUUACUUUUGUCCACUUCUAAAGCAGUACCUGUAAUCAGCACUUUCUAUGCCUAAGUAAAGCCAGCUUCUCAGUUCUACAUUCCCAAUACAAACACUGAAGGAAUUAAAGAUGCCUAUGGACUGUUAAUAGUCAGCCUGCUGUAACGUGCUCUGUGUGGGUGCAGAAAGCUGUUACAAGAUUUCUAAGUGGUAUAAUACAAUGGUAUCCUAAAACACAGAUUCUUCAGGAUCCAUGGGGCCAGAGGCGAAAGCAGGUAAAGCAGCUGAUGCAAAUCUCACCUUUCUGCAGUAGGCUGAGUCACACUCACACAUCCCGUUGUGUCUUCCGUCCAGACAAGCAAGAAGCAUUGUCAGAAUUCAAGUACACACUCCAGCCAGGCAAAAUAAAGGCAGUGUGUGGGAUGAGAAGGGUGUGCUGAGGAAGCAGCGUACAUUUGUUGCUUGGUCCACAUUUUCCUCAGGCACCACCCACCACUUGGAUGUGGCCCCUGGAGGGUUACCCAGAUAGGAAUGUGGCCCUUGGUAUGAAAGCAGUUCUCCACCCCUGGCUCAAAGUAUCCUGGAGGUGGACAUGGUGGGCUGGCACCCUUAAGCAGCAGCACCGCUGCUAGGACAUUUUGUUGCAGGUUGUUGUUGUUAAUUUAGUUUAUAUACCACCCUUUGUCCAAAGAUCUACUUGCGCUUUGACAUGCUUUCGAACUGCUAGGUUGGCAGGAGCAGGGACUGAGCAAUGGGAGCUCACCCCAUCACGGGGAUUCGAACUGCCGACCUUCUGAUCGGCAAGUCCUAGGCUCUGUGGUUUAACCCACAGCGCCACCUGAGUCCCUCUAAAAGCAUCCUGACAGACAACCUAAUAAUAAGUUAGUCAUCAAGAUAACAAUCCUCUCCCCAACACUUUUACAGGCCAUAGUUUAUGUAAUAGCCAAAGACCUGGGUAAAGAGGAAUGUUUUUGCCGGGUGCCUAAAGACAUGUAAUGAAGGCACCAGGUGAGCCUCUCUGCGGAGAGCGUUCCACAAUUGGGGAGUCACCACAGAAAAGGCCCGUUUUCUUGUUGCCACCCUCUGAACCUCUGUGGGAUGGAGGAUAUAGAGAAGGGCCUCAGAUGACAAGCACAGGGUAUGGGUUCAUAUGGGGAGAGGCGAUCCAUAAGGUGUUGAUCCUUAAGUUUCCACUUUUAACAAUAAUAACAAAUAUAAAACUACAAUUUAUUAUGAUUAUUCUUUUGGGAAUAGGCAUGCUUGUGGAAUUCAGCUGUGAAUUCUGAUACAACUGACCUAAUCCAUACUUACUGAGUUAAUAUGCAGGUCGAAAUGUCAGCUAUAUGUUUAAAGCAUGUGAUUUCCCCCAGAGAAUCAGGGGAACUGUAGUUUAUCAUUCCCAGCACCCUUAACAAACUGCAGUUCCCAGGAUUCUCUGGGGAAAAUAUGUGCUUUACAUGUAUGAUGUGUAUGCUGCCCUGCUUAUCAACCACAUUUCACACGCCAAGUUUAUUGGCUCAAAAAUGAAUAAAUCAACAAUGCAAAUAUUUAAAAUGCAAAGUUUUAGAAUUAAUGUGUUAAGAUAUGCGUAUUUUGUGAGAAAAUACAUUUUAAAAUGCAUUAUUUAAAUGUGUAAAAUGUUUAAAUGCGUUUAAAAUGCAUAAUUUAAAACUUUUUUUUGCAGAUUAAAAAAAUCACAGAUUUAUGCAGAAACAGGAUGGAAUGACCUUAGGUGACACACACUUUGAAUAGACAGAUCCAUUCCAUCCCUAUUCAGGAAUCUUCACAAUAAAAAGGCAGGAUGUGGAAAAACCCCCCCAGUAAAUCUCUAGUUUACACCUGGCCUACUUCAAAGGGUUGUUGUGAAGAUAAAAUGGGAGGGGAAACCUCUAAGAGGAAGGGUGGCAUGUAAAUGGAAUGAGUAAAAACCCAGAGUGAAAUAUAUGCUAGCAACCCAAGGGAAAAAUGUGUCAAAGCAUUAGAAAGGAACCUGGCUCAUCAGAAAUGUUAUUUAUAGAAGCCUCCAAAGCCACUGUAAGCCCUAAUUGGUGCCAAGGCUGCUUCAAAGGAUUUCUGUGAAAUCCUCACAAAUAGAGCGACACCAUCCUCAGCCAUUCAGCUGGGGAAUGCAAUAUUAAAAGAAUGGCAGUGGGCUGGGGGGGAUAACUUGAUAAAGGUUGCAAACACAGAGAAGGGAAAAGACAACAAAACAUCCACUUCUCCAAUUUAAAACCCAAUCACAAAUCCUGCUUGCAGCUGCACUGUGACAAAUUGUGUGCUCAUAAAUAAAUUCUAGAGGCUUUUUUAAGGAACCGACACUGUAAAAAAAGGGGGGAAAGAGAAAAAUAGUGGCAAGAAUUAAGGCAAACUUAGCCUUCCUUCUCCAUAAAAUAAAAAUAAAAUCUCAGUGUCAGCACAUCAACUAUGGCACCACUUAAAGAGGGAUGCUCACCUGGCACCAUCGUUAUAAAUUUUUAGGUGCCUGGCAAAUGCAUUCAUUUUUUUAAUCAGGCAUUUAGCUUUUAACUAUGGCCUUUUUGCACAGGUGGGAUGCUUUAAUUUUAAAAAAAAAUAGAAUUGUCUUUUAGGUUUUUCUCUUUUUUUGAUGCUGGUUUUAAUGUAUGUACAUGUUUGUUUAUGCUUAAAAUAUUGUAAAUCACAUUGGGUUGCUGUAGCAAAAAAAGCAACUUGUAAAUUUAAUUCAUCAUCAUCAUCAUCAUCAUCAUCAUCAUCAUCAUAAAAGGGCUCUUUCACACAGGGUCUCCAUAUCGCAAUGUUGCAUUCAGAUGUUGCAGACAUGUUGUUGACAACUGUAUCAUUCUUGCUGUUGUUAAGAAAUAUAAUAAUUACUGGAUUCUCCCCUGGGAAGAGUAAAUCUGGAUUAAAUAAAAUGUGAGGGGCGGAGGAAUACAGGCAGGCACUUGGAUGGUCAUGACACUUUGUAGAGUCUUGGGCCACAUCUGUAUUGUACAUUUAAAGCACUACAAUACUCCUUAAAUAGUCGUACUUCCUCCAAACAAUCCUGAGAAAUGUAGUUUGUUAAGGGUGGUCUUUGGAGACCCUAUUUCCCUUAGAGAGAUACAGGUUUCCAGCAUGGUUUAUCAACCAGUCCCUCUUCCCAGGGGGGAAUUCUGGGAAUUGUAGCUCUCCUAAUAAUUCUCAGUGCUCUUAACAAGCUACAAUCCCCAGGAUACUUUGAGGGAAGCCAUGACUGUUUAAAGUGGUUUGAUACCGCAUUAAAUGAAUAGUGUGGAAGUGGUCUUGAAAAAUGUGAAACACCCACCCCAUGACAAACACUGGUCCAGAAGCACCCAAGGAGUGCCCUGUGGCUCUCAGCUCAGUUUCAUGAGGCCCUGGGCCUAAUUUCAUGUGGAUCUCAAGAAGAGAAAGGGCCAGUGGUGGCUGGUGGCCAUUGGGACUGGUGAGACACAAGGAAGGGAGACCAACAGUAUGUGGAGCCAGAACUGCUUCAAGACAGAGCCAGCUAAUUCUGGUUUGCCCCCAUCCUCCUCCUGCCUGUUGACUUCCACUAGAGCAACACUGAGACUGAGAAGGAAGGUGGAAGUUGACAAGGCACUGCGUGAACAAGAAGGCAAGCAGGUUGUGGUUACCUGGUGGCACUAGGAUGGUGGGGCAGAAAGGGAGGUAACUCCACCUGCCUCCAACCCCACCCAAGUUUUGACUCCAACCUUAUAGGGUAACCUCACAGCACAGUCAGACUUUCUCCCAUCUCUUCCUCCUAUAGAAUGCCUUCUCCUUUCACAUCUGCUCUCUCUACCUCAAGAUACAGGGGCAGUAGAGAUAGACACUUGACAUUCUCCUUUGUCCUUUCUGGCCAUGUGACGGCAACAUGCCUCUCACAGGGCCCUGGACUGGCAUUUAGGAGACCUUUGCUGCACGUGUGACUUGAGGCUGCUGAGCAAAGGUUAAAUGGAGCGUAUAAGUGGAGCUGACACCAGGUGGAUGAGAGCUGGCAGAGAUGGGAAGUGAAGCAGGUGAAAAGGAGGUAAGCAGUCAGGUAGGGCAGCCUAGCCCAAAAUGGCAGCUAAAGCAUAUUGAGCUUUUGGCUCAGUGGCUAGAAAUAUUACAGGACUCCAGCUCCAAUCAGACCCACCCACAUUAGUCAGUGAUGGUGAAAGUUGUAGCUCAACAACAUCCAGAGGGCCACAGGUUCCCAAUCCCUGUCUUUUCGUGCAUUUUGUACCCCCCCCCCCCAUUUUUGUAUGCAUUUUUGCACAUAUCAUUUGGCUACAGAACUGUUUUGCAAAAUCCAGAAAAGUGAAAUUUUGAAGGAGGGCUGUGUAUUCAGUUUGUGUAUUUUUUCAGAAAGUGCAAAAUUAAGUAUGUUGGCUGUCUUGCCCACCUGUCAAAAGUUGACCCAUGGGGUGGGGCUAGAUAAGGAUCUGGCCCACAGGGCCCCAAAGUUUCCCUGCCCUUCGUGCUAAGUCAUAGGUGGUGAUAUGCGAACCAGGCUGCCUUGUCAGGUCUUGACUUCAGGCAGCUGUGAGAGGGGAGCCAGGUGUCAAAGCUAAAGACCCAGAGCCAUGCAGGAUCAGAGUUCCCCAGGAAAGUCUCAGCCCAAGCAAGAAGCCUUUUGUAGUUCUUCCUAUCUAGAGCAGCCCAGUGACCAGACUAGUCAGAGAUUAUCAGCCAAACCUAACAAAUGUGUACUUUUGCUGGUUAGCAUGAGAAGGGGCUAAGUCCACAGAGCUGUAUUGCUGAUAGGUAGAUAUUCAGAUCAUAGAAAUACAUUUGAUAGAGAGGGCUCUGUGUGAUGUCAUUUCCCCUCCUUUCCUGGAGAAAAGGAACAUGUAGCACUUCUUCUCCUCUCUGUCUCACGUUCUGUUUUCUUUUACAGGCAGAUGCUUGAAGCUGGUAUUUUGUCUGCUUAGUUUUUCCCCUGCUUCCUUACUGUGAUCCAAUGCAUGAUUAUAAAGUAAGAAAAUCUUAUUUUUAAACUUACUUUACAAGUUGUUGCCCGACUCUUUGUUAAGUGGGGUAAGAAGGGGGAAGCCAGCUUACUUCAUUAGCUGGAUUUGCUCAAAAGGAGGCUUUGCAGCCUAAUUCCCAUGCUUUUAAUUUUGCUGCCAACGAUGGGAUUUUAAAACUCUGUUCAACCCCCACACAUGACUUCCUGGAAGGAUAAAUUGUAAUUAAUAUAUUCCCUCCUACCCAUUAAAAUCCAUCCACAAAACUAGGUGGGCAGGGUUCAGUCCAGGGCCUAAGAAUACCCCUCUGCCCAGAGAUAUACUGCAAACCAUAUGGGAACUCACCACAUGUGACAGCUGAAUGCAGAGCCUCGGUUUCCCAGUCCUUGCGCAGACUAUCAGAAAAAUCUCUUGUUCCCCAGUUCUGCUCGUGUUGUGUUUUGUGCUGCCACCUUUAAAACACGGAACAUGGUAGAAGGUGCAGCCAUUCACAGCUUCGACAGUGUGACUACAGUUAGUGCCUGAAGUGGUGGCUGAUGCCCACUAGGAUUUGAAGGGAAUAAGGCAAGGAGCCCAGUGGUAGGUGGAGCCAGACUCAAUGGCAGGCAGGCAGAGCAAACCAAUUCUUGUUUUCUCCCCACACUCCUCUCUGCUGAGUUCUAUGACUAAGGAGGAGGAGAGGGCUGUUGAGUAGUGUUACUUGCUAUAUUGGUUGUAAAUAAGAAGGGAGGCAGGUGGGAGCUGGCCGAGGGCAUACUGAGCUUGGUGGAGCAAUGCCCUGUUUGCCCAAAUGGAACUGCUUUUGUGUGUCUAGUCACCUUGGUUUCGUGUGUAGUCCGAGGCUAUGUGCUGUAAACUGGAAGAAAGCCUUCGCAGUUCAAUGGGAUCUGCUUCUGAGUGAUGGGAAAGUCCAUAGCUCAGUGUUAGAGUAACUAAUUUGCAUGUGGAAAGUUCAGUCUCUGGUGCCACCAGGUGGGUCUGGGUUAGACCCCUUUCUGAAACCCCAGAGAGCUGCUGUCACUCAGUGCAGACAGUACUGUGGGAGACGGGGCCAUUCAAUACACUGUCAGCUUCCUAGCAAGUCUGCUUACGAUUGCAGGCUUCGUGGUUAAAUAUCCAGAGAAAAUUUCCUGUCCAGCAUCGCCGACUCAAAGACAGCACGGAUUGCGCUCUAGCAAUGGAAGGCACAUUGAUUAAUUCAGUCUAUCAAAGGGAUGAGUACAUCAUCUAUGAUUCAUCAUUUGGGCAAAUUUCAGUUAACCGUUGGGAUUUCAUUUCUUACGAGAAAUAGCUCACAGCAACAAAAUAUAUGGACAAAUUCUGUCCAUAACAAGCUGCCUAUUUAUUAAGGGCAGAGCUCCCAAAACAGGAACUAUACAAAUUACAAAUGCUUGUCAAACCUUG